AUUGAACGCUGGCGGCAUGCUUUACACAUGCAAGUCGAACGAGUGGCGAACGGGUGAGUAAUAUAUCGGAACGUACCGAGUAAUGGGGGAUAACCAAUCGAAAGAUUGGCUAAUACCGCAUAUUAUUCGAGCAGCCGAUAACUGAUUAGCUAGUUGGUGGGGUAAAGGCCUACCAAGGCGACGAUAAGUAGCUGGUAUGUGAGGACGAUUCGGCACACGGGGACUGAUACACGGCCCAUACUCCUACGGUAGGCAGCAGUGGGGAAGUUUGGACAAUGGGGGCAACCCUGAUCCAGCCAUGCCGCGUGUAUGAAGAAGGCCUUCGGGUUGUAAAGUACUUUUGUUAGGGAAGCUGUACCUAAAGAAUAAGCACCGGCUAACUACGUGCCAGCAGCCGCGGUAAUUC
rnacentral:rRNA from 1 species